AGAAUGGUUCUUGUACACUGGAAGGUGUUUUUAAAGAUCACUAGACAGUUAAAUAAUUUGAACUUUAUUUCAUCAAUCUCCUGCUUCCUUUUUAUCACUUUGAUUGCAGUUGUUAUGUUCAUUGAAUGAGGUAAAUCUGUUAGAUAUUAUAUCUAUGGAGGACUUUUAACUCCUUCCUCUAAUUUAGUUGGUUGUAUAUUCUUGUACUUCACAUCGUCUCUAGCCUCAGUCUCUCUCACUUUACAUGCUUUACUGCUUUUACGGAUAAGGUAUGGUGCAAUACCAGAACAGGAUCAAUCGUGAAUUUAUAUCAUGUCUGUCCUUGUAACUUCCUAUUUAUUGUUGUCCAAAACUCUCUUUUUUAUUUUCUCUCUGUCUCUCUCAUUUAUACUUACUGGGUGCCAUUUGGUGAUGGGAUAAAUUUAUUUGUUUUGUUAAUUUAUGCUUCUGUCUAUUUUGUUUCUCACCUUUUCUUUAGAGUUCUUCAAGUAUUUUAUCCACUAUCAGUAUAUUAAUUUGCUGAUGUUCAAGUCUUUUCAUGGGUUUGAAUGGCAGUGGUGGUAGAGAUCUUAGCGGA
rnacentral:misc_RNA from 1 species